AAUACUUCUCGGCCUUUUGGCUAAGAUCAAGUGUAGUAUCAUGGCAGUCUUUCAUACAUUUGAACUGGAUUUCAUAGUUUUCAACCCAUU
rnacentral:snRNA from 1 species